AUGAGGCCGGAGACGCGGCUCGACUCGGCGGCGUUCCAGCUCACCCCCACCCGCACCAGGUGUGAUUUGAUUGUGAUAGCCAACGGGAGGAAGGAGAAGAUCGCCUCCGGCCUGCUCAACCCCUUCGUCGCCCACCUCAAGGCCGCCCAGGACCAGAUUGCCAAGGGAGGCUACACCAUCCUCCUCCAGCCGGAUCCGGCGGCCGACGCGCCAUGGUUCACCAGGGGCACCGUCGAGAGGUUCGUCCGGUUCGUGAGCACGCCGGAGGUCCUGGAGCGCGUGACGACGAUAGAGUCCGAGAUACUGCAGCUCGAGGACGCCAUCGCCGUCCAGAGCAACGAAAAUCUUGGACUCAAAUCUGGAGAAGGCCACAACGGGAAACCGGUGGACUCGUCCAUGGAAGGUGGCAAGACAGGUUACAAUACUGAUGGUGAUAAGGCACUUGUUCUGUACAAGCCUGACGCACACCCAGCAUCCCCACUGCAGAAUGACGACGGAGUACAUGAGGAGCAUUCAAAAGUUCAGCUUCUCAGAGUGCUGGAGAUUCGCAAAACUGUCUUACGCAAAGAGCAGGCUAUGGCCUUUGCACGUGCUGUAGCUGCUGGGUUUGAUAUAGACAACCUGAUAUAUUUGAUCUCGUUCGCAGAGCGUUUUGGUGCUUCACGCUUGAUGAAGGCAUGCACACAGUUCAUUGAUUUGUGGAGGCAAAAACAUGAAACUGGACAGUGGAUUGACGUUGAACCUGAAACAAUGUCUGCACGCUCUGAAUUUCCCCCCUUCAAUGCUUCUGGGAUUAUGUUUAUGGGAGAGAAGGAAACAAUGUCUGUCUCUAAUGGAGAUACAAAUGGCGAAGAUGCUGCUAAAGCUGAUCACAGGGCACCUCAUCACCCCCAUGAGUACCAUCAUGGUCCAUAUCAAUCAGGAUAUCCACCAUGGGCAAUGCAUCCUCCUUACCCCAUGCAAGGCAUGCCACCAUAUUACCCUGGGGCGAACCCAUAUUACCCUCCUCCCUAUCCCCCAACAGAUGAUCCCAGGUACAACCACUCGGAGAGGAGACCAUCAAGGAAGCACUCAGCAGACAGCAAGGACUUCGACAACUCCGAUGAGGAAAGUGAUGACCAAAGCGGUUCAGAGAGGGAGAGUUCUCAUGGGCGCAAGUCCAGUAAAAAAGGCAAGCGCUCGGGCAAGAAGAAUGUAAUUGUCAUACGCAAUGUAAAUGUAACAUCAAAGAAGAAGCAUAGGUCAUCAGAGAGCGAGUCACACUCAGGCUCAGAUGUGUCAUCAGAGGAUAGUGAUGAUUCACACAGAAAAUCCAGCCGGAGGAAUCAUCAUAAGCGCUCGAGUUCGAAGAAAAAAGGGGGCAAGAAAACCAUUGAGUCUGAAGAUGAGUACACCAAGGAUGGAAUGUCUAAUGGGCAGCAAGAUGGAGAUCAAGGAAACUGGAAUGCGUUCCAGAACUUCUUGCUCAGAGAUGAAGAGAAGACAAGAGAUAAUAAUGACGCGGAUAUGUUCGCCAGUGAAAGAGAGCCACCACCACCACCUAGGAGGAGAGAGACCACAGGAAAUAUGGAUGAUCCUAUUCUUUUAUCGGAGCGAGGUUCUGCUGAUGUCGAUGAGCGAAAUGGAAUACCUUUCAACACAGCCAAUGGGAGAAUUAGGGCCAGGCAGAUGAUGUCUGGUGAUGAACUUAUGAUGUCUGGGGAAGGUCGGAGCUUUGUGGAUGGUGACAUGAAGGAGAUAGAAGCCGGAGGUGGGGGAUACAGAAGAGGGGCAAAUGAUGACUUCAUGGUUUAUGGACAUGACAACUCAAUGGACAGGGGGAGCUCCUUGGAUCCCCUUGCCGAGGGGCAUUACAAGAGACCCACUCUGGAGGAAAAGAAGAAUGUGCAUGGUGUGGACGAGUCCUUCAUGAUACCUGUUAGCUCCACCUCACAUGAUAACCUUGGAGCUGAUGGCCGUACAGCCAUUGACAUAGAUGCUGAGCUUGGCACAAGUGUUCAGAAAACAUCGGAUGCCAAGGCUGGAGGUGAACUUUUCUAUGAGCCAGAUGAAUUGAUGCCAGAGCGUGGAGUCGAGGAUGUUUCAUUUGGAUAUGAUCCAUCAAUGGACUAUGAUAGCCACAUGCAGAUUCAUCCCGACGUCGGCGUUGAAGAUGCAAAUGCAGAGGAUUUAUCAGCUUGCGUCGAGGAUGAAGGAAAGAUGCCAGCAAAAGACAAGAAGCUUAGAGGUUCACAUGAGGGUUUGGAUAAAAGAAGGAAGGAUGCCUCAGCAAGGAGAUUGUCAGCUCCCAAAGGUCCACUAACUGAUGCGCAGAAACGUGCACAAAACCUACGCGCGUAUAAAGCAGGCCUACAAAAGGAAAAGAAGGAGCUGGAAGCAGAACAGAUUAAACGGCUCGAAAGGCUUAAGCAAGAGAGGCAAAAGAGGAUUGCUGCAAGAAGUGGGGCAUCUAAUCCAAUAUCAACACCGCCGCAGGCUAAAGCAAAACCUUCUCCAAAGGUUUCUCCAAGUACCCACAAGAGUUCGAAGUUCACUGACGCUGAACCAGGAUCCUCUUCGCCUCUAAGAAAAAUUAUUCCUGCCAGAAGCAGUACCCCGGGGAGUGAUCCUCACAAAACAGCCAAAGCAAGCAAACUCGGCGGUGACAGCUCAAGUGCAGUGAGCAAGUCAACCUCAUCCUUGGCUGAGAUCAAAAAGGAGAAAAGUGGGAGAACUGAAUCCUCGAUUGAGCGGUUGAAAAAGCUUGCUGAACCUAAAAGCAAUGCUUCAACUGACCACCCUCCGAAUCCGAAGUCAGUGAGCUCGGACUACCCACGGAGAAGAAGCUUGCCAGAAGAUGUGCAGACCAAGAAAAUCUCCGCUAUAAUGCAGCUCGACGAGACCAAGUCGGCAGCCCUACCAGAGCUGAAAGUGAAAUCCCCACGAACCCCUGCUGCUGUCGUUGUGAAGAAUAAGGCGGCGGCUAAAGUAACAAAAGAGGCGCCACGUGGUGGACCUAAAGCACAUGCUACUUCAGAAAGUAGAGAUGGAAAGAAAUCUUCCAACGGUAAAGUUUCCAGGGUAAGCAGCAGUGAUGACAAUGUGGUGGUUGAGAAGACUGUCGUGAUGCUUGAGAACGAAGUGGUCUCUACGCCUCCUGUUGUUCUACCUUCUGGAAGAAGUGCAGAGAGCGAAACUCGCAGCGAUGACCGAAUGGAGAAUCCCAGUCUGGAACAGGAGUAUAUUGCCAUCAGGGCUCCACCUUCUCCUAUUGAUCUUCCUGAAGAUGCAAAUCCUACAAUCCAUACAUCAGACAACCAGUUGAAUUCGUAUGAGGUGGAUGUGCCUGAGUACAAGAAGGACGAGCUUGAGAAACCAGCCCCGUUGGCUCUGAUGGAGGAGAAACCUUAUGAGGCCCCUUUUGCCAGGGAACCCGAGACACUUGCGCGUGCAGCGAGCGUGAGGGCUCGCGUGCCGGAGCCUGCUGCAUACGCAGUCUCAGCCGAGGAGACACAUGGAGGAAGCGACAAGCCUCGGAGCAAAGAACCGAAAGGCUUGAGGAAACUGCUGAAAUUCGGCAAGAAGAGCCACACUUCAACAAUGGAUUCCGAUGCAUCAUCAGUCGACGAAGCCCCUGCAGGAGAUGGUUCGAUGCUGAAAAACCUCAUUUCGCAAGACGACUCCGCGGGCUCUUCAUACAAAGCUUCUCGGUCCUUCUCCCUGCUGGCGCCGUUCCGCAAGAACAAGGUGGUCGUGCUGUGA
rnacentral:rRNA from 1 species